rnacentral:lncRNA from 1 species
UAGAUUAAGUGUUAAAAAAAAAUUUAAAUAUAUGACAAACAACACAAAGAUAGAAUUUCUCUUCAUAUAAUUCACAAUUUUGAGGAACAGUCCUAGAAGAAAUUCAUACAAACAGAUAAUAAAGCAAGUUUGGAACAAAUAGUUGAAUGCCCUCAACCAACCCAACUACAAAAAGAAAAACUAUAAGAAGAACAUACUUGAAGUCGAGACUCUUCAAUUUUUUGUAAAAGCGUUUUUGAUUUGUUGUAGAUUUUCACCAAAGGUUGAAGAUAAACAACAACCAAACUUCGAGACUUUGAUAUCUUUUGUGUUUAGCAGUGUCCCAUAUUUGCCACCAAACAACUUAUAUUCAUUCCUUUGUAAAGAAAUACUUAAAAUAAACAAUUUUGAAAUUAUGAAUAUAAGAUUAUACAACGAAUUAUAGAAUUUACGUUAAUUUAUUAUAGGCAACAAUACAGUAAUGAUUUAGAUAUUUAUAAGUUUAAGUAUAUUCGUGCAUAAUGAAAAAAUAAUUAUAACUUAUCUUAGAAACUGUGUUCAAUAGUAUUUAAGUAGUGAAUGCACACUGUGGUUUAGUGAUAAUAAUCAUGUAGCUGUUAUUGUCAUUUAACACAUGCUCAAUGUGAAAAAUAUUUUGGCAGUUGAAAGUAAUUUUACUGUACUUUGAUAAUUCGUUAGAAUUAAGACAAACGGGGACGUAAAAAAUAUUCAUUGUGACGGAUAUCUUAAGGAUGACAAUUCGAACCGUUAAAAUCGAAAACCGCG